UCAAAUGGGUUGUUAAAUUUUUGUUUUUAAAUGUAACUCAUGUUUCUUCAGGGAUUAAGCUAAACUUUUUGGUCCCUUUGGCUAUGAUCUGCCAAAAAAGUCAACUAAAUUUAUUUUGCCUUGCAGCUACCAGUUCCUCCCACAUCCUCAUUUGAUACUGUUUCUUCUAUUAGUUUUUUAUAAUUUCUUUUAAUCAUCUUGAUCUGUUGGAAGCUGGCAAAAUCAUUUUUGUGCUUGUAUUCCUCCUAGUUUUCUAUUACAGAGUAUUGAGCUUUAGAGCAGUUUUUCUAUUGCAAAGAACUCAGAGAGACCACAACUAUAGGUUUCUAUUUGAAAUCUCUGGGUUUAACUUGUGAAUCAUGUUUGUAAACCUAACAGGGCUAACAUUGUAUGGCACCUUGCAACACCCUUAGAAGGAUAUCAAGACAUCCCAAGGUGCUAUGGCUUCCAGGUUUGAGAAAUAAUGCCAUAAAAGGAGACUGUAAGUGCUUCUGGGUGAAACUUGUAGGAUAGUAUAUAAUAUGAACAUAAAGGAGUUAUAUUUGCCUUCAAAUAAAAAUGUAAAGGUAACAAUAUUGAAUUGUGGGAAACAUUUGUCAGGAACAUUUGGGAAAAAUUUCUUUGCUAUGGUUUUCUGAAGGUAAUAUAUUUAUUCCACUGACUGUGGAAACUAUUGAGGUAUUGCCCUCCUCUCCAUCACUGGAAAGAUCCUUGCUCAAAUUCUGCUGAACUGACUGCUCCCUCUUGGUGAGGUACUUCCUGAGUCUCAGUGUGGCUUUAGAUUAUUGAGAGGCACUAUGGAUAUGAUUUUUGUAGCCCAGUAGAUUCAGGAAUAAUGCCGAGAACAGCACCAGGAACUGUACGUAUCCUUUAUUGAUCUGACCAAAGCCUUUGACUCUGUUAACUGUGAGGCUGUUUGGAAGAUCUCAUUGAAGUUUGGCUGUCCAGGGAAAUUUAUCACCAUCCUAAGACUCCUUCAUGACCAGAUGACUGCCUCCAUCCUAUGUAGUGGCUCUGCUCCGGAUCCCUUUGCCAUCUAAACUGGCAUCAAGCAGGGCUGUGUGAUCACACAAAUUCUGUUUUUCAUCUUUCUUACAGCAAUCAAGAUGUUCAUCCAUGACCAUCUGCAACAUGGCAUCAGCAUUGAGUCUGGCAUCGACGUCACAAAUUGAAAAAAACAAGUCUGGGAAAGGACUACAUGGUUAUGCCUUGUGAAAGAAGGAGCACUUGAAGUACAGGUUAUGCACUCAGUAAGAUACUUGGACUGAGGCCUGCAGGAAAAACAAAGUGCAAGUAGGUCAUUCUGGUCCAGAUGGAUUACCAUUUAAACAGGACAAACACAGAAUAAACAGGAUGCAUAAGGAAAGAGGUACAGUAAUUAUUAUUUAAAUGGUGUUUGAUUGUUUAUUAUUAUUGUUGUUGAUUUACUUAUGAUUAAGCAAAAAAACCCCAAGAAAGAAUCACAAAACUGAGACUAUAUUAGAGUGUUCUAUAUUUUAAUAAGUGCUUGAUAAAGCAUAUCAUUUGAUUGUCUAGUCCUCAGAAGCUGCUGAACAUAUUC